CCUACGGGAGGCAGCAGUGAGGAAUAUUGGUCAAUGGCCGGAAGGCUGAACCAGCCAUGCCGCGUGAAGGUCAGUGCCCUAUGGGCGUUAAACUUCUUUUGUGCGGGAGCAAUAAUGGUCACGUGUGGCCAGACGAGAGUACCGUACGAAUAAGCAUCGGCUAACUCCGUGCCAGCAGCCGCGGUAAUACGGGGGAUGCAAGCGUUAUCCGGAUUUAUUGGGUUUAAAGGGUGCGUAGGCUGUGAGGUAAGUCAGCGGGGAAAUGCCCCCGCUCAACGGGGUGAAGUGCCAUUGAUACUGCCUGGCUGGAAUGCGGAUGCCGUGGGAGGAAUGUGUGGUGUAGCGGUGAAAUGCAUAGAUAUCACGAAGAACUCCGAGUGCGAAGGCAGCUUACUAAACUGCCACUGACAUUGAUGCUCGAAAGUGUGGGUAUCAAACAGGAUUAGAUACCCCUGUAGUC
rnacentral:rRNA from 1 species